AGUGAACGCUGGCGGUAGGCCUAACGCAUGCAAGUCGAACGGCAGCACAGUAAGAGCUUGCUCUUACGGGUGGCGAGUGGCGGACGGGUGAGGAAUACAUCGGAAUCUACUUUUUCGUGGGGGAUAACGUAGGGAAACUUACGCUAAUACCGCAUACGACCUACGGGUGAAAGCAGGGGAUCUUCGGACCUUGCGCGAUUGAAUGAGCCGAUGUCGGAUUAGCUAGUUGGCGGGGUAAAGGCCCACCAAGGCGACGAUCCGUGGCUGGUCUGAGAGGAUGAUCAGCCACACUGGAACUGAGACACGGUCCAGACUCCUACGGGAGGCAGCAGUGGGGAAUAUUGGACAAUGGGCGCAAGCCUGAUCCAGCCAUACCGCGUGGGUGAAGAAGGCCUUCGGGUUGUAAAGCCCUUUUGUUGGGAAAGAAAAGCAGCAGGUUAAUACCCCGCUGUUCUGACGGUACCCAAAGAAUAAGCACCGGCUAACUUCGUG
rnacentral:rRNA from 1 species